UUGUCUUUAGGAACAACGGGAAGCCCUUGGAAUGCUGUAGGCUGGGGAGAGGCGGGUUCACAUGUGCACCCUGGCCCGGACAGAAAAGGAAUUACAGAGGAACCAGAACGGCUGCAGGUGGACAAGCUGCAAUGGGCAAGGAAGGCGGAGAGGGAGGCAGACACACGGCCUGGAAACCCGCCAGAAGGAGGAAGCCAAGGAUCUCCACCCAUGAGCAGUACCUGGAGGCCAGUGCAGCCCCCCGGGGGUGCUAGGCCAUGAUCUGUGGGGUGGUCUGCUGUGCUGGGGAGCACAGGGACUGAGGACUCUCUGGGCUGCGCUCCCCAAGGAUGCAGGCAAGGCUCACAGAAUUAAGGAGCGGGGCAGGGAGAUGACCUCACCCAACGCUCUUAUCCCACAGCUCUGGACACCAAGGCCUGGUGCAGGACGCGCAAGCCGACCGCCCCAGAAAGCUCGAAACCUCCAGAGGCGGGGUCGAGGGAGCGGUGUGCAUGCGGGGGAGGGGAGGGAGAGGAGGCUUCCGGGCCCCCUGCCCAGGGGUGGUUCCUGUCCUGGGGGCGGGGGGGGGGGGGGAGUUGAAGCGGACCCAGCCCACCGACCCUAGUCACGGGGAGGAGAGCACGUGGGGCUCCCUCCUUUCACGGGGCAGGGCCGGGGCGGGGAGGGGGGUCCCACGGCCGCCUCCUGCCCGAGCACUAGCUCCAGGCUGCGGGAGCGCUGCGGACAGGCGGGCGGAGCCCCGCGGCGGCUCUCAGCUCUGUUUCGGGCGGACCCGUGUCCUCCCCGAGCGGGCCCCGGGGACGCGGCCAAGCCCACGAGCGGCUUCCAGGCCGUCAGCAGCUCUCCUUCGGGGACUUCUUGGCCCCGGGGAGGAGCCUCGAGGUGGCCGACGUGCGCUUCUGGUGUCGCCACUUGGCCCGGCGGUUCUUGAACCAGACCUGAGGAGCAGGACGGGCGACUCAGGCCCAGCCCGGGCCCCGGGCCCCGCCCCCACCCCGACCCCCACCCCGACCCCGACCCGGACCCCGACCCGCGCGGGGGCGCCUCCCGAGGGGCGUGGCGGCGGGGGCUGCGCUGGCUGCGCGGGCUGCGGGUCCCCCCCCUCCGCGGCCCCGCAGCUCGCUGCUCCUCCCGGCUUCCUCCACGAGCCGCAGGAGCCCAUGUAUCCGCGAAAGUAAGAAAGUUUAAACCGAAGGAAAACCAGCCUUACCUGCCGUCCAGGUCCAGCGCCCCCUUCCCGCGCCCCCGCCCCCGCCGUCUAUCCGAGGAGUGGGGGGAGGGGAGGGAGGCGCGCGGGCCUGUCGCGCCCGUCCGCCCGUCCGUCCGCCCGUCCGUCCGUCGGUCCGCGGGCACCCACCUCCACGCGCUCCUCGCGCAGGCGGAUGCGGCCGGCCAGGCGCUCGCGGGUGCCCACGUCGGGGUACUGGUUCUGCACGAAGAGCGCCUCCAGCGCCUGCAGCUGCUCCUCGCUGAAGAUGGUGCGGUGGCGCCGCGUGCGC